rnacentral:rRNA from 1 species
GACGAACGCUGGCGGCGUGCCUAAUACAUGCAAGUCGAACGCAGUGGGGACGGGUGAGUAACACGUGGGUAACCUCCCAUCAGAGGGGAUAACACUUGGAAACAGGUGCUAAACCGAUACUGAUGGAUGGACCCGCGGUGCAUUCGCUAGUUGGUGGGGUAACGGCUCCCCAAGGCCACGAUGCAUAGCCGGGGUGGGAGGGUGAUAGGCCAAACUGGGACUGAGGAACGGCCCAGACUCCUACGGGAGGCAGGAGUAGGGAAUCUUCGGCAAUGGACGAAAGUCUGACCGAGCAACGCCGCGGGAGUGAAGAAGGUGUUCGGAUCGUAAAAGUCUGUUGUUAGGGGAGCGGUAUCUAACCAGAAAGCCACGGCUAACUACGUGCCAGCAGCCGCGGUAAUUC